UACGUAGGGUGCGAGCGUUAAUCGGAAUUACUGGGCGUAAAGCGCGCGCAGGCGGUUCUAUAAGCCAGACGUGAAAGCCCCGGGCUUAACCUGGGAAUGGCGUUUGGGACUGUAGGGCUAGAGUGCGGCGAGAGGGGGUGGAAGUUCCGCGUGUAGCAGUGAAAUGCGUAGAGAUGCGGAGGAACACCGAUGGCCGAAGGCAGCCCCCUGGGUCGACACUGACGCUCAGGCACGAAAGCGUGGGGAGCAAACAGG
rnacentral:rRNA from 1 species